CACCCGAGCUCGUUGGGAGCACACCUCCUCUCGGAACUAAGCCUGAAAAAAAUAUUUCUAAAUUUUUUGUUCGACGGAAUUUCUUUGGUAACAAACAAAUGUGGUAAAAUGGAAACAAUCUCAACUCUACACUCUACACUCGGUCAUUGCAUUCUUUAACGACGGGAAUGCAAUGGCUCUCUAGCUAAACAAUUGAUGAAUGAACUAAAGGCUCAAUGACUCACCCUUCCUGCCGUACUGCCCAUUGGGUCAGUUCCGAAAACGACUUGGAAAGCCGAUGGUACCGGUCCCGUUGGACGAGCAGCUCGCAUCGGAUUUCCAAUAUGUAAUCUUGAAAAAACGAAUGACUAUAAUAAAUAACUACAUGCUUAUAUGUUAAUCCAA